UUUUUUUUUCCAAGUUUCAAUGUUAAAAAAAAAAAAAAAAGUACAAUUUUGGUGAUUGUAAUAACGUAGGUAUGACUUUAAACAAAUUAGCAUAUCGUGACGUCACUGACUGGUUCUUCAUCCCGUGACUUCAGGCGCAUCAUCGCAAACCUUAUUUUGAUGCUGGACAGUUUUCCCAGAACUUCGUGCCAAGUUAAAGCGGUGUCGAGCUGCUUUGAUGAAUUUUUUAGAUGUAUUAUGGUGCCCGAACCCGUUAAUAUUAUUUUAUUGCUUUUGUAUUAUUUGUUUGAACUAAUCUCUAUACAUGAUCCGUAUACGUGUAUAUAUCAGGGCCGUGCACAGGGGCGUGGCCGGAUGGCCAAGCCACUGCCCCUCUGCCCUCAUCGACUGAGGUGCCCCUGUUCCCCACCCCCACCGCUCCGCUCAAAGCAUUCCGCUGAUUCCGCUAAUCCGCUCCAGGUUUUCCAGCUCGCUCCGCACGCCGCAAGCGCAGCAUCACUUACAGUAUGUGUCUGUGGCGCUCUCUUGAAUCUAGGACUGAACACGACACGAAAGUUCACGAGUUCACGAAAGCUGUCGCAUUAACAGUUCAACACUGCAAACAUGGAUUAAAAGCUCCAGCAAGCCAGCAGGUAAAUCAUCAUAUAGAACAGUUAGCAGACACUUUAUCAGUUUAAUCCUUAUGAGGCAGAGGCAGCCUCAGAGAGUGAGGAAGAGCCCAUUGAGCAUCAGCCAAAUCAGACACUUACAAGUAAGUGUUUUUAAACUGGCUGACAGUAAAGGAUUCUGAAUAUGCUAUAGUUUGAUAACAAGAAAUAUAGUCAUUAAAUUAUUUGAAUGUAAGAGUAAUAUUACAAGAACAUAAAUUUUAUUAGCACUAAAGCCUAACAAUUGUGUUUAAAAUACGAUUGUAAUAGGUUUGUUAUUCAUUCUCUAUAUUAAGAUGAAACUGCCUCAGAAUAAACUCAGCAGAAUAAAAGUGUAGGUCUUGGAAUUGAGCCAGAGACAGAAAAAGUUCAGAAUGAGAAAGAAAAGCAAUACAAUGAGACAGAGAGGGAAGAGAUAGAUGCAGAACAGUAAGAAAUGGAGAGUGAGGCAGCCACAGCCAUGUCACAAGGGAGAAAAAGCCAGAAGACUUUGAGUUUUUGCUUCAAUUACAAAAUCCAUCAGAUCCUGCUCAUGUAAAGAAAUACGAUAUAACAUACAAUGUGGCCUUCACAAAAUUUUCAAAUUCAGUAGGACCCUGUCGUCCAAUUUUGCCGUUCCCAAAAAAUGAACGAGGACGUUCGUUUCAGGGACAGUGGUAUGAAGAACACCCCUGGUUAGGAUAAAUAGAAAGGUUUUGCUGUAAAAGGGAAAGGUAAAUAUAAAAAUGUAAAACAGCAAAUAGUUUCUGUUAUUAUCAUCAAUGUCUAAUUGUGAAUCAUAAAAAAAUUGGUGAUCUUGGUGAUCUUUCAGGACAUGGUACCAAAUAAAAAAGUGUUGCUGUAAAUGGAACAGGUAAAUAUAAAAAUGUAAAACAGCAAAUAGUUUCUGUUAUUAUCAGCAAUGUGUAAUUGUGAAUCAUAAAAAAAUUGGUGAUCUUGGUGAUCUUUCAGGACAUGGUACCAAAUAAAAAAGUGUUGCUGUAAAUGGAACAGGUAAAUAUAAAAAUGUAAAACAGCAAAUAGUUUCUGUUAUUAUCAGCAAUGUGUAAUUGUUGUUAUGUUCUAUCAAAACAUCUACAAUAAAGUCUAAAAUGUAUUUGAGCAUGUGCUAUCUUCUGUUGAAAUUGUACAUUUUGUAAUACCUGGAUAAUUUGUGUUAACAAGCAACCACCCCCUUAGUGCCCCUUUUUUUGGUUUAGGCCACUGCCCCUCAAAAUGUCUGUGCACGGCCCUGGUAUAUAUUGUACAAAAGUUCUAAAGUAAACUCUUUAUCGUACCUGACGCACAAUACUGUUAUUUGCACUACCAUGCACUCUCACACUUUAUGUACAUUACUGAUCUGUCAUAUACUCUGUAUUCCUAUUUAAUACUUGUACUGUCUGUAUUGUCUCAUAUAGUCUGUUUUGU